rnacentral:rRNA from 1 species
CCUACGGGAGGCAGCAGUGGGGAAUUUUGGACAAUGGGCGCAAGCCUGAUCCAGCAAUGCCGCGUGCAGGAUGAAGGCCUUCGGGUUGUAAACUGCUUUUGUACGGAACGAAACGGUGAGCUCUAAUACAGUUUGCUAAUGACGGUACCGUAAGAAUAAGCACCGGCUAACUACGUGCCAGCAGCCGCGGUAAUACGUAGGGUGCGAGCGUUAAUCGGAAUUACUGGGCGUAAAGCGUGCGCAGGCGGUGAUGUAAGACAGAUGUGAAAUGCCCGGGCUCAACCUGGGACCUGCAUUUGUGACUGCAUCGCUAGAGUACGGUAGAGGGGGAUGGAAUUCCGCGUGUAGCAGUGAAAUGCGUAGAUAUGCGGAGGAACACCGAUGGCGAAGGCAAUCCCCUGGACCUGUACUGACGCUCAUGCACGAAAGCGUGGGGAGCAAACAGGAUUAGAUACCCUGGUAGUCCACGCCCUAAACGAUGUCAACUGGUUNUUGGGUCUUCACUGACUCAGUAACGAAGCUAACGCGUGAAAGUUGACCGGCCCGUCGGGAGGUACGGCCCGGCCGACGGUUAGGUAAACGUACGAAAGUAGUAAGUUAGUACGGACGUUAGGAGACGUUGGCCGACGGACGACGACGAGGGGAGGUUAGG